rnacentral:rRNA from 1 species
GUAUCCUGGCUCAGGAUGAACGCUAGCUACAGGCUUAACACAUGCAAGUCGAGGGGCAGCAUCAUCAAAGCUUGCUUUGAUGGAUGGCGACCGGCGCACGGGUGAGUAACACGUAUCCAACCUGCCGACAACACUGGGAUAGCCUUUCGAAGGAAAGAUUAAUACCGGAUGGCAUAGUUUUUCCGCAUGGGAUAAUUAUUAAAGAAUUUCGGUUGUCGAUGGGGAUGCGUUCCAUUAGG